AGAGUUUGAUCCUGGCUCAGAGCGAACGCUGGCGGCGUGCUUAACACAUGCAAGUCGAACGCGCAGCAUUCUGUAGCAAUACAGGGUGUGGGCGCGUGGCGAACGGGUGCGUAACACGUGGAUAACCUUCCUUGAGGUGGGGAAUAACCCCGUGAAAAUUGGGCUAAUACCGCAUAACAUCGCGAUGGCACAUGCUGAUGCGAUCAAAGGCGCAAGUCGCCACAAGAGGGAUCCGCGGCCGAUUAGCUAGUUGGCGAGGUAAUGGCUCACCAAGGCAAUGAUCGGUAGCCGGACUGAGAGGUUGGCCGGCCACACUGGAACUGAGACACGGUCCAGACUCCUACGGGAGGCAGCAGUGGGGAAUCUUGCACAAUGGACGAAAGUCUGAUGCAGCAACGCCGCGUGGGGGAUGAAGCUUCUCGGAGUGUAAACCCCUUUCGACCCGGAAGAAUGCCCGCAAGGGUAUGACGGUACGGGUAUAAGAAGCCCCGGCUAACUACGUGCCAGCAGCCGCGGUAAUACGUAGGGGGCCAGCGUUGCUCGGAAUUACUGGGCGUAAAGGGUCCGUAGGCGGUGUAGCAAGUCGAUAGUGAAAUCUCUGGGCUUAACCCAGAGGCUGCUAACGAAACUGCUGUGCUAGAGUGUGAGAGAGGCGAGUGGAAUUACGGGUGUAGCGGUGAAAUGCGUAGAUAUCCGUAGGAACAUCCGAGGCGAAGGCGGCUCGCUGGAUCACAACUGACGCUGAGGGACGAAAGCUAGGGGAGCAAACAGGAUUAGAUACCCUGGUAGUCC
rnacentral:rRNA from 1 species